rnacentral:rRNA from 1 species
UAGGGAAUCUUCCACAAUGGGCGAAAGCCUGAUGGAGCAACGCCGCGUGUGUGAUGAAGGGUUUCGGAUCGUAAAACACUGUUGUAAGAGAAGAAUGACAUUGAGAGUAACUGUUCAAUGUGUGACGGUAUCUUACCAGAAAGGAACGGCUAAAUACGUGUCAG